GCCGAAGCUCUUCCUAACGCGUUACCGGCGACGUCCGGCAGUCAGUGGAAGUCAGUGGCAGUCAGCGGUAGACAACGGCAGGGUGCGGACGUGUACGGAACGUCGAGAUCGGACGAAUCCGCGGUUACCGGGAGACGGGAGGCUGUCACCAUCCGAUGGCGCUUCGCGUUGGAGCCAGUAAACGUUCUCCUUGCACGUACCGCCGGCUUGUUCCAUUCUCAGCUCGGUUCGCUGGAAAGCCUCGAGAGGAGAUGCGGCGGCCGGUCCCGUGAGGGGCCGAAGGGAUGCCUCCGGGGGCCGCCCUCCUCGGGCUGGCCGUCGGCCUCUGGUGCGUCCUGGGCGCGCGGCCCAGGGGGAUCUCGGAGCUGCAGGCCGCGCUGGAGUCGCCGCUGCUGGGCCGUUGCGACUUCGAGGAGACCUGCGACUGGCGCUGGAACCGCACCGGGCCCGGCUUCGUCCGCGUCCCGGCGAGCUCCGCGGGUCGGCGCGGACCCGCCUUCGACGCCGCCGGCCUGGAGCACGGACACUUUCUGCGGCUGGUCGGCAGGGGCGAGGGCCAGAUCUGGUCGGGCCCGAUCCCUCGCACCGGCACGCGCUGCCUCCUGGAGCUGGCCCUGCACCAGGUGGAGAUGAGGAACGGCGCCGUCCGCCUCGUCAUCGAGACGAGCAACCGCACGAGCUGGGUCGCCGCGGAGCGAUCGGGCAACGACCGCGCGACGUGGGAGGUGACCCGCUUCAACUUGGGCGCCAUCAGUCAGCCGUACCGGCUGGUCUUCGAGGUCGUCGCCCCCUUCGCCAACUCCAGCCUGGCCGUCGACGACAUUCGCCUGGUGGACUGUUUCCCAGAGUCGACGCCCGUCGGAGCCGUCUGCACGGACGACGCGUUCCGCUGCAACAACGGAUCCUGUCUGAACAAGACCCGAGUCUGCGACCUGACCGCCGACUGCGAAGACGGGGAGGACGAGGUCGCGGACUGUGAGAAGAUGCCGGAAACCGCGCGGUGCAACUUCGAGAGCGGAUGGUGCGGGUGGACCAACGUCCCGGACAGGCCGCUCAACUGGACGCUGCAUCGCGGACCCACGCCGACGGAGAGGACGGGCCCGAGCUACGACCACACUUUUCGGAACCGCACCGGGACUUACGCCUUCGUCGACAUGUCCAAGCGGGCCGACUACGGGAGUCGCGGGACCAUCGAGAGUCCCCUCUUCAACCCUACCCCACCCUACAGCGGCGACCCUACGAAUCCGUACUUCCAGUCUUGCCAGGUCCGAUUUUUCUACCAUCAGUACGGGACGCACAGUGGAUCCCUCGGAUUGUACGUGGUCCAGGUAAAGCCGCAUCAGAAUCAGUUGGACAGGCUGUGGUGGACUUACGGCGAUAGACACGACAUUUGGUACAACCAGGCAGUUCCUCUCCCGGACAUACGGCACAGGUACUUCUUGCAGUUCGAGGCGAGCAAGGGGUACACCUCCAAGAGCGACGUGGCCAUCGAUGACUUUUCUCUGAGCCCUGAGUGUUUUGGCAUCGGUGUUCCCCCGGAAAUCGUGGGAGAUUUCAACUACUACAAUCCCGUAAUCGAGCGGGAACACGAGUCGAAGCAGCAUGCCGACUUCGUCAAUGAAACGGUCGUGAGGAUCACUACGUGCGGUGCUCGCGGGAGGAUGGGUCCUACCGGGGACAAGUGCAACGAGAGACACAACGGCACCGACGUGGAGCUCUUGACGUCCAUGUCGGCCCCCUCGGGGUCUUCGUCUUCGAACGAAGACGCCGCGGUCCUGAGUCUGAAGGGGAUCCAAAGGUGGACCGCCCCGCGCGGCGGAUAUUAUACAUUGAUCGGGAUGGGAGCACACGGCGGAAGGGGCUCCGGCGGGAUGGGAAGUACGUUAGGUGCCACGGUGCGAGGCGUCAUCGAAUUGGAGAAAGGACAACAACUCUACUUCAUGAUAGGGCAGCCUGGAACGGAUGCAUGUCCGAAAAGUCUGGGACUACAGACUCACUUUUGCCAGCGUCCAAGUAAAGCUGGCUUUCAGAACUCGAGAAUUACGUCCAUAGUGCGGGAGGUGAAGAAAAUCAAGUUAAAAGACGGCGGAGGUGGUGGUGGCGGAGCCACUUACGUUUUCCAGGUGAAGCCAAACGGGGAGCAAGAACCGCUGCUGAUAGCAGCCGGCGGAGGAGGUCUGGGACUGGGUCAGUUCGUCGACGACGGAAUCCAGCACGGUCGAGGUGCCCCUCCAGGGAGAAGCCCAGGGUCCGGUAUUGCCUUCAAAACCGAGAGCGGUAACGUCGGCGGCGGCGGCGGAGGCUGGAUCGGCGAUGCGGCCACAAAUACCUCGGCCGCCGAGGCGUCGAAGGGCAUGCCCCUGGUCCUGGGCGGACAAGGUGGAGUUGGAUGCGGAGACCUGGCCAAUUCAAGUGGCGGCCACGGAGACGGUGGCUUUGGCGGUGGUGGUGGAGGCUGUCUCACCGGGGGAGGCGGCGGCGGUUACAUCGGAGGGAGCACGGGCUACCGAGAGUCGGGGAACGGAGAGGGCGGCUACUCGUACGCCAGUCCGGAGCUCCUGCACGUCGCCUUCCUGCCAGGGACGAACCAGGGUCCAGGCGAGGCCCUCGUCGUUCCGGCCAUCAGCGGAUGCGGAUGCGACUUCCGGUGCGCAGUUAUGGACCGACACCUUGGCCACACCAGGUGUCUGUGCCCUCCGGGCUGGCGACUGGGCAACGAUUCGCGCUCUUGUCUGAUGGCCGACGAAUCGGACGUCGCUCAUCGGACGUUUAUGAUCCUGCUCGUGGCAGUGAGCAUCGGCCUAUUGUUCGCCUUCUCUGGACUGUGUUUACUGUUGUAUAACCGGUACCAGCACCGGAAAGCUCUCUCUAGACGCAGGCAAGUCAUGUUCGGCAACGGGACGGAGCUUACCGCAUUGAGAGUGGUGUCCGAUAACAUGAUGACCGAGUUCAAUCCGAAUUACGAGUUUGCCGGCAAUCUGUACAGCUUUAAGGACCUGCCGCAGAUUCCCCGCGACAGCAUCUCGCUAGUAAAGCCCCUGGGUCAAGGAGCCUUUGGCGAAGUGUUUCAAGGUGUGUACAAGUACAGGCGAAACGAGGAGCACCCAGUGGCCGUGAAGACGUUGCCAUCGUUAUCGACGUCUCAAGCCGAGGCUGAUUUCAUGAUGGAGGCACUCAUCAUGAGCAAGUUCAACCACCCGAAUAUCGUGCACUUUAUCGGUGUUUCGUUCGACAAGCAUCCGAGAUACAUCGUGCUGGAGCUAUUGGCUGGUGGCGACCUGAAGAACUUUCUGCGCGAAGAGAGGCCACGUCCUGAUCGGCCAACGGCACUGACUAUGCAAGAUCUGGUGACGUGUGCCUACGACGUGGCGAGCGGAUGCAAGUACAUGGAGGACGCUCGGUUCAUCCACAGAGACAUCGCCGCAAGAAACUGUCUUUUGACUUGUAAGGGCAGAGGGCGCAUCGUCAAGAUCGCCGACUUCGGGAUGGCCAGGGACAUUUACAGGAGCGAUUACUACAGAAAAGGCGGGAAAGCCAUGCUGCCCAUUAAAUGGAUGCCUCCGGAAAGCUUUCUCGACGGCAUUUUCACGACGAAAACCGACGUCUGGGCGUUUGGAGUUCUACUCUGGGAGAUCAUGUCCUUCGGGUACAUGCCGUACACCGGAUGUGCCAAUAGGGAGGUCAUGUCAAUGGUGACGACUGGCGGACGGCUGGAAAGACCGGCUGGAUGUCCGGAUCCCAUUUAUGGGAUAAUGACUCGGUGUUGGCAUCCUCAUCCCGAAGACAGACCAAGCUUUACGACCAUUGUCGAAAGGAUAGGCUACUGUCUGCAGGAUCCAGAUGUCUUGAACCAUCCAAUGCCGAACUACGACAUCUUGCCAGUCUGCGAGCGAGAAAUAACCAUAAUGAGGCCCGAUCCGGAAACAGAAUGUAUUAAUGUACAGACAAAUCUGGACGGUUACGUGCAACCGAGAACCGACUUUCGGGCUGUGUCUUAUCACGCAACGCCGGCUGAGCCGGCCGAGCCGGCCAAACCGGUCGAAUCGACCGAAUCGACCGAAUCGACCGAGUCGACCGAAUCGACCGAAUCGACCGAAUCGACCGAAUCGAGCGCGAUUCGAUCCUCGUCGAGACAACGCGUCCUGAACGACGAGGAGGCGCCCUUGGCGAGCCGAAGUCGACCAACGACCCGACCGAUCGACGAAGGUUCCGAAUUCGAGGACAGUCGGCAGGAGAAUCGGCCGGGAAACAGAGAGGAACCCGGGGCGAAGGAGCAGGUCUACGCGAACGACGGUCCUAGGGACGGAGAGUACCGCGAUCCCGUUCGCGUCAACGGGGAGGCGGACCCCAGGGCAGGCUCCAGCUCCGAUCCCACCACGAGUGCGAGCGCCAAUGGCAUUCCAAGGAAAGGACCGCUGAAAGCGACCCUGAGUCUGGACCCCAACGCUCUUCGCGAGAGGACGCAGAGUCGGCCGGGAGGGCCACGCUCGCGGGUCGAGCCCCUGGAGUCGUCAUCUGCCGGCAACGACCCCCGAAAAGAUUCCAUGGGGCACGAGUGGCCGAGAGAGGAGGAGUGCUCUUGCUGAGGGUCCGCCGCCGUCCGAUUUGACUCCGAGCGCGUCGAGGAGUCGGUGCCGCGGACGACGAUGGAAAACGGCACCGAACUCUGCGAUUCGGGCCGAUCGGAGGGAUCGUGGACGAUGCGUAGGGAAGCUGUCGCGGAACCGCGAUGGUUCCUCCAACCGGCCUAUGAUGUUUGUAUAACGUACCUUUCCAAGAGAACCGACGAGCACGAGCUCAGCGAUCGCUAAUCUCGAAACUGUCGUUUCUGUCGUUUCUGUCGUUUCUGUCAGUGCAGCUGCAACGCCGCGGUAUUUAUUUCAAAAUUUACAUGGUAUUUAUAAUGUAUUUAUGUGUAAAAUAUCGAAACAUCCGUAGAGUGACUAUUUGUAAGAUUUAUGGGCAAGUUGUCCUUCGUGUAAAUAGUGUAUCGAGUAAAUUCAGUGUAUCGAGGAAAAGUA
rnacentral:misc_RNA from 1 species